UACGGAGGAUCCAAGCGUUAUCCGGAUUUAUUGGGUUUAAAGGGUGCGCAGGCGGAAGAUUAAGUCGGCGGUGAAAUUUUGCAGCUCAACUGUAAAAGUGCCAUCGAUACUGGUUUUCUUGAGUGUGGAUGAAGUAGGCGGAAUUUGUGGUGUAGCGGUGAAAUGCAUAGAUAUCACGAGGAACUCCGAUUGCGCAGGCAGCUUACUAAACUACUACUGACGCUCAGGCACGAAGGCGUGGGGAUCAAACAGGAUUAGAUA
rnacentral:rRNA from 1 species